rnacentral:tRNA from 1 species
GCGGGUAUCGUAUAGUGGUAUUACCUCAGGUUUCCAACCUGAUGAUGACAGUUCGAUUCUGUCUACCCGCUCCA